UGCUGCAGAAGGAUCACAGCAUGACUUUAGUAUUGAAACAGUAGUAGAACUAACAGAAACACACACACAUCAUCACACGCACACCAGGAAUCAGCAGUUAGAUGAGACCAAACCAUUUCAUUGUUCUGUCUUCUCUCAGACAGAAAAAUGACAAUGGCCAGUGUCAGUGGGUGGGUGUUCCAGCAUCAAAGUGGCCCAUACUGUAUUAAAAGGCAACAAGCUACAGGCUAAAGAUUUAACAGAAGAUUUAACAGAGGAUGUGUGGUUAACAUUUUUCCUGUAGCAGCAGUACUAGUAGAAAUCCAGACCACUUGGUCCUAGAAGCUAAAGGUCACAUCUGGGCCAAUGGGGACAAGACCAAAGCGGACUUGACACAAAUUGAUUCUGAAAAGUAGUUGUGAUUUAUUCCAGUGGUACUGAAUGAGCUCAAUCUGAACAUCAUCCCUUUUAAAUUUGGUGUUUAUUUACACAGAAGCCGGUGAUUAACACGUAGAACGGGUUUGAUCGUAGCAACAGUCUGACAAAGAAAAAUAGAUUUAAGAAGGUUCCUUGGAUAGAAACCUUUUAAAUGACUUUGAAUUGGUGAGCUAAAUGCAGCGGUUUCUCCCCAGCAUCACCUGCUGCUGCCGCCCAGCUGGGCUUUUCUACAGAUCUCCUAAAGCUCAGUCAGGCUGGAUGGGCUGUGACAUGCUUAGUUUAGAUGUUCAGCUGGAUUUAAGUCCAGGUUUUGACUAGACCACAUUUAGACAACCUAUUUGUCAUGUUAGCUGAAUUAUACAUGACACUUAUGUCAUGAUUGAUCAAUCAUGACAUAAGUGUGAGGUUCGCUCUCAAGUUGCUGCUUUCUUCUUACCCUCUACUCAGUCUCCCAGUUCCUGCAACAGAAAACCACUAGGCUUCAGAGUGGCAGCAUCAUGCUACAUGCUGCAAUUAUAUAGUCCAGGUGAUUUUUGUUCAGGUUUGAUGCUUGAAGUUCAGGUCAAACCGGAGGCUUUAGUUUUUCUAGUCUGUUUUUGCAACAUAUAAGUCAAUAAAUAAACAUUUCAUGUCAUGUAAUCAACUCGAUUUACAACAACUGAACUCAAAUCAGGUUGGAGAAGCAUCUGAAGGACGGUCAGUGUUCUACUACCAAAGGGCAAGGGACAUUUAUGAAUGUGAUUUUUUUUACUUUGUGAGAAAUGUGUUAAAACCUGAAAAACUGUUUCACUUUAUCAUUGUGAAGUUUUGUGAGAAGAAUAUUCAGGGGGAAAAAUCUGUCAUCAGUUUUAGAAUAAAGCUCUACCAUAAAUUGGUAAAAAUGUUAAAUGAUGUCUAUUAAAUUCUCAAUGCACUGCAUUUGUAGAACCAGAGAGGUGGCCAACAUUAAAAGAAGGCUGGGAUGAAAAGACAGAUGUUCACACAUUUUUACAACAAUUCACUGUUGAGAACAGAGUGAUUAUCAAGCUGAACCGUUGGAUGGUGAUAAAUACUUUGAAGCACUAGUAAUUAAUGCUAAAUUUAGUGUAGGUCUUAAUUAGUGCUGCACUAAGUGAAGAAAAAUGGCUGCUAAUCUAGUGAUAAUUUGCACUAGAACCAAUGAUGAGGGGCAGCAGUAGUGAGAUUAUUAGCACUGUUGAGUCUCACCAGGAAAGUCCCUGGUUUGGGGGGCGGCGGAGUGGAGGGGGUUGGGAAGACUCUGGGGGUAUUUGUUUACUGUAAAAUAAUAAGACUCAAUUUUUUCAAACCCCUUCAAUGAAAAUAUAUGACCCAUCAUCCCAACAAUGAAAAUCUCAUUGUUUGAUUUUGAACCAAUAGUUAGCAUUUUAUUACAUGAAAUAAAUAUUUGAUCAUCUACUAAAGGAUUUUAUCUCUAACAGAUAAAAGGUCCUUUAUCACUCCUGCAUCUGUUUGAACUCGUAUAAUAAGAGACACCUGUCCACACAUUCAGUCAGACUCCGCCUUCUCCACCAUGGGGAAGACCAAAGAGCUGUCUAAGGACAGGGACAGAACUGCAGACAAGGCUGCACAGGCCGACAGGUCAACAGGCAAACAGCUUGGUGAGAAGGGAACAACUGUUGGAGCAAAUAUUAGAAAUUAAAUAUUUUCCAUAUUGUCAUAAAAAGGUAUUUGUGUAUACAACUUAGGAAAGACAUUAUUUUAAUACAGAUAAGGUUGUAAUAAAACAAAAUGUAGAAAAACUGAAGCGCUGUGAAUACUUUGUAGAUGCUCUGCAGAUACUUAAAAUCAUGACAGAUUUGAAAGAUGGCAAUAAUACAUUUGAAGUUUAGAGCUUUUGAUAAAACCACUGGAUGGUAACUGAUUUAACUUGGCAUGAGGUUAUUUACACCACAAACAUGAUUUAUUUUAAGAUUCUUCAACUGCACAGUUUCUAAAAAUGUGCAGGGCCUCAAAAUAUGAAAUACCAAAGAAAACACUGAAAGAAAGAAGGAAAGGGAAAUUGUUUGGUCACUGGGUGGAUUCCAGUUGGAACGAUCUCUUUUUAAUCUGCAGGAAAGCACAGAUUAAAUAAAAACAGUAAAACCAGAGGACUAGAGAAGUGGACCAAUAAAACCUGAGGUUGGAAUUGUAGACCAGAGAAAUAUCAAUAAGAACCACAGUUUACACCUUAUUCUAGCAAAUCUGAGGAAGGUCUGCUAGCUGAGAUCAAACAUCUGAUCAAGACCUCAAGAAGACAGCUGAGAGCAGGAAGCACCAUUCACUCAUCUGAUAUACAACAUGCAAGGACAUGCUGGAGCAAUGCCCAAAGUCAGUUUUACCUAAUAAUAAACCACAAGUUUACA